rnacentral:rRNA from 1 species
UACGGGGGGGGCAAGCGUUGUUCGGAAUUACUGGGCGUAAAGGACUCGUAGGCGGCCAACUAAGUCAGACGUGAAAUCCCCAGGCUCAACCUGGGAACUGCGUCUGAUACUGGAUGGCUUGAAUUCGGGAGAGGGAUGCAGAAUUCCAGGUGUAGCGGUGAAAUGCGUAGAUAUCUGGAGGAAUACCGGUGGCGAAGGCGGCAUCCUGGACCGACAUUGACGCUGAGGAGCGAAAGCUAGGGGAGCAAACGGG